rnacentral:rRNA from 1 species
UACGAAGGGGCUAGCGUUGCUCGGAAUCACUGGGCGUAAAGGGUGCGUAGGCGGGUCUUUUAAGUCAGGGGUGAAAUCCUGGAGCUCAACUCCAGAACUGCCUUUGAUACUGAAGAUCUUGAGUUCGGGAGAGGUGAGUGGAACUGCGAGUGUAGAGGUGAAAAUUUCGUAGAUAUUCGCAAGAACACCAGUGGCGAAGGCGGCUCACUGGCCCGAUACUGACGCUGAGGCAGA